GAGGUGGGACAGGUGGUUGUGUGUGUGUCUGUUUCAGGGGGGUGGGGAAAGUGUCUAGAGGGCAAGUAAAUCAUUUGUGAUGGAGAAAGCAUCCUGCUCUGUCUAGUGAAUAAAACAAGUGACUGUUUGCUGCUCCUACAUUUCCUUCUGAUAAGCUGAAGAAGAGCGAUAGGGAGGAAAAAGAGAUAAAUAGGACUGGGGGACGAAUGAAGAAUUGAGAGUCUAUCCUGUGAGCUUAAUAUAACCUUCCUUAAGAAUUUUCUUCAACCUUGUAUCAAAAUUUAAAACUACACUUUUCCAAAUUUGAAUUUAAAAUAAUAUUUUCCCCCAGCAUUGCUAAAUGUUAAACACAUGUUUAUCACACCAGUAAAAUAAUUCUAAACGUUAACUAAAAUGCAACUUUAAUUAGCAGGUAGAUUACCAUCUGUACAGGACGAGGCAACCUGUGGCAAUCACUGUGGCCAGCAUUUAUCGAGUGUCUGCUCUGUGCCAAACUUUAGUGUGGAUUGACUCAUUUCCUCCCAAAAACAGAUACAUAAAAUAGGUUUUCACCAUCAUCCCUGUUUUAUUAUAGACUGGGAAAUUAACAUAGGUGUAUAGAAGUUAAAAAAAUUUCCAUGUGGGCCUAGGAUUUGAACCUGAGCAGUACAGUUGAUACUAGAGUCCACUGUGCCAGUGAUUGCCCCCAUCUACCCGGUAGCAUCACAUGAGGCUAGGAAGACCUGGGAGUGAAGGCACCACCGAGAAAGAAGCGCUGGUCCUGGGUAGGGUCUCCAGAUUCAGCAGGUCAAAUGCGGGAUGACCAGGUACAUUUGAAUUUCAACUGAACAGCAAUUAGUAUUUUACUAUGUCUCAUGCAGUAUUUGGGAGCAAACUAAAGAAAUACUAUUAAUCUGAAAUUCAAACUGAGGUGGGGGUCCUCUAUUUUAUCUUACAAUCCUUUCCUUGGGAGACAUGGGUGCUACUGAAGAGAGAAUCUGUUCCAUCAAUCUUGGCCAAUCUGGGAUCCCAAAGAAGAGGACCUGCACUGUGAAUUCCUCUUUACCACUUAACCACUCAGAAUCAAGCACCCACCCAACUCUAAUUGCUUCUCCAAACCAUUGACAUUUAAAAUGCUUUUGGGACUUGAAGUGAGUAUAGGUGAGUGAGCAUGAGGGAGGAGUAGGCAUGUGUAGAGAAACCUCCUCCUACAAAUGAACCACUGUGUUUGUGGUAGGAGUUCAGGAGCAGUCUCUACCCAUAUAGUAAGUACUGUCGGCCUGUGUCCUCUAGCUGCCUGUGGCUCAGAGACGUGUGUUCUUAGGCUCAGGAGUUAUUGCUGAAGCUUGGCUCUUCGUCCACCGAAGUCUUCACCUGUCUUUCUUUUGUACUUAGCUACUGUCCUCCUCCACUCAUUUAUGUUACCUAUCUGUACCCUCCUGCUAGCCAUUUGAGUCAAUGACUACUUUUAGACAGACUUGUCCCCAGAAGAUAACCAGAAUUCAGUGUUAAUUCUAAAACCGCACUGGGUUUGAUGUCAUAAUUUAAGCAAAUGCAUGCAGGUCUUAAGACAAUUUAUGCAAAUUCCUAAUGAUCCUCCUAGGUCAGAUACCCAGCUAUGGCCUUCGGUAAAAUCCUGGUGCAGCCCACAGGUAGAGAAUGUGUAUAAUUGAGCGCUGGAUUGAGUCGGGGUUCUCUGAGCCUUGAAAGAACAAAUGGUAUAAAUGUUAAUAAGGACUAACAUGAAGAAGAAGCCCUACAGGCUAUACUGGGACAUCUUUGGUUUCAAAGCAGUGAGGCACUUAAUCUCUGAUUUAUAAACAACCCAGAACCAGAUGUAGGAAUAUCCAUUUUCUGUGAAUAUGAUGUAUCCUGCUUAUGAGAAACUUUCUCCAAAGAAAUAAAGAGAAGAUCUGCCAACCGUUUAAAUGAAGAAAAAUGAGCCUUUCACUUUCAUCGUGCCUGCCUUGGUGUAAGCUAGAGUAUGAAUGGAGAAGACGUCAACCUUACUGAUGGUUCCACAUUCUGGACAGAAUCCUAUUGUGUAUUCUUGAUUGAGAUCUGCUCAGUGGUACCAAAAGGUGGCUUAGGGUUUUAAGAAAUGAUAUUAACAAAUCAUAUGCACAAUUUCACCAGGCAACUAAUUUUAUUUUUUUGUUUUAUGACGCCUCACUGUUGUAUCGACACCAUUUAUGAGUAUUAGUGGAUUAAAUAAAGUGAUCAUCAUGGAAAUGAUUGGGAAAUUGUAUAACGUGAAAAGGCAUUGAUGGAGAACCUUAAACUGCCCUUGUCUUUGCUCAGAACCCAACUUCUGAUCUAUAAAUGGACAAAUGAAAAGUAACAUUUGGACCAGGGAGAAAAAUGCAUCUCGGAUUACUUUUCCGUUUCUAGCCUUGAGAGAGAUCAGGGAUGAGGGACUAUAGGAGGUACUGGAAAAGGGAGUAUAAAUGCCAAAUCCUGUCAUGUAUUUAAAUCUGGCUGGUGACUAUUUAUUUUCAUGUUCCUUUCAUCCUCACCCAAACCAUUAGGUAAUCAAGUUUAGACUGUUCACAUAUGCAUAUUCAAUAUUUAUCUUCAGGCCAUUUAAACCAAGGUGCAUUUCUGUGAUUAAAAGUGGCACAAUAAGGAGAGUUAUGAAAAAUGACUAUAAAAGAAGAAAAUUGGAGAGAUAAGCUAAAUAAACGAAACCAAUUAGAAAACAGGCUUCGCAAAGAGAUGAAAAUACAUGUAAUUUUGUGCAAGAAGUAGAUAAUGUUAGUUAAAGGUUUAUAAAGUAGUCGGAGAAAUGAGUCAACCAUUUAAAUGUGAGGAAGAGAUGAACCAGAAAUCAGUGGAGUUGAUGGAGUAAGGGAAUACAUUAUUUGAGAUUCAAGCUUUUAAAGAGGGUUUCAAUCAUGUUUUGAGACAGGAUGUCAGAAGACCAACAUGAGUGAAUCACAGACAUCAAGAUGGGAGGUAAUGAAUAAACUUGAAGGAAAGAAACAGAAUGAUUCUGAAAGGAUGAAAUGCGAGUGGUAAUGAAUGACACACUGAGACUAAAAUAUGAAUAUUCAACAGUAAUGUAAGAUCAUCAGAUUAAAUAGUUAAGAAAUGAUAUGAAUAUAAUAGGAAAUAGAAAAGACAGAGCAGAUGGAAAAUAAGGCAUUUUCUAUUUCUCUUUUAGGAUUAAGAGUUCUGAUUGCAAAUGGAGGGGAAUAAAUGUCAAGAUAAAUAAAAUUAAUGUACUUUUGGCAAAUAAAGGAAGCUACUACCCAAAACAGAUGAAAUGAUGCUCCUACACACACACACACACACACACACACACACACACACACACAGUUCUUAUUUCUUCCAGGAAGCAGUCUCUGAAAAUUCUUACAUAUGUCCCAUUUAUUAUUGUAUUUGGACCCUUGAAAAGGCACAAUUUGUAGCUUUUUUUUUCUUUAAUUUGCAAUUACUUUUGUGAUCUGGAUCAAAAUAUUUUCUCAUUGUUACCAUGCAUGGGUUUCAUGGCUCCUCCAUUAUUUUUCAAGGGUAAGGAACAGGGCCUGAAUUUUGUUUGUCCUUUUCCCUAGCCCUGUAGCACUUGCUUGCAAUGCUUUUUGACUGUUUUAUUGAAUGUUAGACAAAAAAAGAAAUUAGGUAUGCUAAAAGAGUCAUGUUUUAGGAGAAAGAGACUAAAAUUGAAAGGAAAAAAUAGAUUCAGAAAUAAGUAAUCUGGAUUAAAAAAAUAGAAAAAUAUUAACUGAUGAGAGCUAAUUCAAGCAAAUGUCUGGCCAUAGGGAGGUCACUAUGACCAUGAUGAACAAAGAUGUUUCAAGUUGAAAAUGGACAGUUAACUCAAGCAUUAUUUCCCCUGACAAGGAAUAUCCACAUAGUUACACAAAUGGAUAUUUUUCUUUCUGUUGGGCAGACAAAACUGAUUACAUAACUUUUGUCAAAAGGGUCAUCUUCUUGCUCUGCCAAUAACAAUAGAGGGUUUUGUACCUCAUCAAGAUGAAUGUUUUAAGCCCCUGUGCCUGACCUUGAAUUUCUCCCAAGUAUUUUUCAAAGGCAUUGAAAAUUCUCAUCUAAAGAGUAAAGUGAAUCUAACAGUUGAAACUAUGGAGAAGACCAGGCUGCUAGACCUCACCAGCCAGGGGAGUAGUCUACUGAUGUUCCUUUUUACAUGAAAAAAGAUCUGGUCUUUAAUGGGAAUCCUAGGUAUAAAGGCCCAAAAUUGAUAGUGACUUGUUAAUUUAGAGGUGGAGGCAAAAAAGAGCUAAUACUGUAUGAAGAUAUAUUCAGGUAAUUUAUAAGGAGUCUGUCUGGAAACCUUAGACUCAGGUACUGUUUGAUUACCUCUCCAGGCUCAGCCUGCUAACAGACCUGUUGGCAGAAUGUAGAGAUCUCUAUUCCCUAUGUCGAAAGAACUCUUAAGUGAGGUCCCCCAUAUUGGGUCUCAAUAAAGCCAUCUUCCUGUUCUCAAGUGAUCCCCCGUGACUGUGCGAUGAAAGGAAUCCAUUUGUGGUUUUCCAGUGCAAAACAAAUGCGAAUUUUUUCUGUGAAACAGUAGUAGUCCGUAUUAUAGAGCCUUAAGCAUUCUUUAUGACACUGGCAAAAUUUAAGUAGAGUGUGGAUCUUUUCUUUCCUAAAGUGCUAAUGUGGCACUUCCUGUAAUCAGAGUAGGAACUGUAGAUAUCAUUAUACACUCUAAAACUCCAAAAUUUACUUUCAGCUGAGUUUCAACAUGAUUCAGGUCCUUGAUUCCAUCAAGUGGGGGCAGCAAUUGUUUCAAUGGAAUGCGACUGAGAAACGGUGAAUUUAUGAGCAUGGCUUCCAGAAGAGAGAAAGCACAUUUCAUGGUGCCUGCUCAAGGCUUUGGAUUGUGGGUAAUUGACAGAGAAAAAAGAAACCUCUGGGGCUCAGGCUUGGAGGAGUUAGAGAUGUGCAUCAUCCAUUGUGGUGCGCUUGUCAUGUUGACACCUGUAUGACAGUUCGAUCAAUGAGAGCUCAAUCAUGGCAUCAGCUGUUUUUACUUGCUGCUGUCUUCCCAAUUCUGCUCCCUGGGAGCAAAGACCAUCCUCUGUUUUCUGUCCGGGUGUCUCUCCAGUGGGUAGAACAACACCUGAUACAUCGUGGGAGCUCAAUAGAUAUUUGUUGGAUGAAUGAAUGAAUGAAUGAAUGAACGAAAACACUGCAUAGAAGAGGAGAAAGUAUGCAAGUUCAUCAUAGAGACCAAGACCCUGGGUGAUCUCUGGCACAACCGCUGAGCUCUCUAAACCCCGCGUGUAAAGUGAAGCCCAUCCCCCCUGAUUUCUGUCACUGCCGAGAAUUGUUCUGCGUGCGCUGCCUCGCCCCGAACUGCAGAAACGAGACCAGUAGUCGGUGCCGCUGUCGCGCGGGCGGCCCCUGCCGGGCGUGCAGCCGGCCCUGGCCCAGUCACAGCCAUCGUCCUCCCGAAGGCUCUCGGCAGGAACGGAGGGGUCGGAGGUGAUCGCGACUUGGAAGAGGCCGCAGCAGAGUCCCCAGAAGCGACUAGGUUACGCGUGGGCCUUGGACGAGCGGACGACGCCGGAGUCCGGCGUGAGGAAGGGCCUCCUGGGCAGCGGCGCGGUCCGGGCGGGCGGAGCACCUGCGGUUCUCGGCGGCUCGGGCGCAGGAACAGGGCGAGGCGGAACAGACAGACGGCCGCGUGAAGGGAAGACGC